UUUCCCUUCUUAGUGUUCCCUUUCGUCGGAACAAGGAUAAACAGCACACAAACCACCCACUAACCACCAAGUUAACUGGGAGUGGGGGUGGUCUUUCCUAUCUUGAUUGGAACUGCCGAUAGUAUUUCUGUGCAGUAUUCAUUGUGGUCGGUGAAGCCCAGGUAAACGCAUUAUAGUUGCAAAGCUGGAACAUGGAAAUAUUGUUUAUUAAAUCAAGCGGAAGGAAAUUACAUGUUUUAGAUCUGCUUGCAAGUAUCGUUUGGAAAGUUUGAUUAAAAUGGGCUGUUCAGGGUAAUUUCAAAUACGCAACUAGAGAUGGAUUUGUUUUAUUUGGUGCUUAUUGGGGCACAUAAUCCGGUUGUUAUGAAAAAUGGUAAUCCGGAGUGGAGAUAUGUGAAACUAUUGAUCAUUGAAGCGGAAGUUAACUAACAAA